GGGGCACUUCCUGGUCGGAGGCUGCCGGUCCCGGGGCAGCGAGCAGGGACGCGCCGCUGGGGAAGGCGGCGGAGGGAGGCCCCGGGAAGAGGAGGAAGCCGAGCAAAGGACAUGUAUACCUCUGAGAAACCUUCUCCAACAAGAUACCUUGCUUCAAGACCUGUCUUGGAUUAUAUACAAAGAAGUUUCCAGUCAUGACUUGUUCCUGGUGAGACUAUCAGCAACUGGGCUGGAGAUAAUUUUCUGACCCAAAAUACAGAUUCAGAGAUCACAAUUAAUGAAUUACAGGAACCUGUGAGGUCUUGACAAGGAAGUUUUGAAUGAAGUUUCAUUAGAAAGGUCUGGGCUUCAGGAGCCAAGGCUGAACUCAGGGUCUUAAAAUUUCAUGACCUCUUUAAAAUGUUGCCCAUGCCAGUAAUGGCUCAAUGUCCUUUAUCUGCCCAAAUUCCUGCAUUUUUCCUUGUUCCAGGAGCAUUGAUGAGGCUGACUGGAAUUGGGUGGGCUCCCUAAGCUCUUGCCUAGGCAGCUGCAUCCAUGGCAGCGCUGCUGCCCUGCAGGGAGAGCAGUGCAGGGGUGGGGAUCAGUGAUCCCUGGCUGAGAUUCUGGUAAAUGCUGCUUUUCCCUUGCUGGAAGUGUGCAUGGAGCUGUAGCUUAAGUUGUUCAGGAAUGUGGUAAUCUUGGGCUUCCUCUAUGCUAAGCAAGGAGAGGCAUCUCCUGAGGGCUAAUCAGAUCUUGGAUGACCCAGUUUCUCACCAAUACUGUAAUUAAACUGCUCCUCUGAAUACACAGAGUGCAUGAAUAGCAAUAAAAUACAAACCCAAAUACUUUGCACAAAACUGAUGCCUCACAUGGGGGGAAUGCAGGGAUGCUAGUGGAAACUUACUUGUUGUUUUAACAUUUGCCUUUUAUCAUGCUGGAUUUUUAUUUAUCCAAUUGACAUAAUGAUGCAGCUUCUCAGACCUUGUGGAUUUUUUCUCCUCAUAGUACAGUUAUUUAAGUAAAUCAGAAUACAAAUGAAAGCUUUUUGAAAUUUGUCUGUAUUUAAACAGAUUUCAAGUUAAUUUUAAAAUUUGUUUUCAUAAUCCUUCCUUUAUUUUUGGUAAUUUUUUAGGAUAUUUAUGGCUGGUAAGUUGUUGCUUCUCUUGCACUUAAAAUUUAUUUUUAGGUCAGAGAGGAAGAUAAACAGUUUUUGAAUUUUAUUUUGUCACAUACUUACUUGAACAAAGUAAGUCUUCAAUCUCCAUAGUCUGAAAUGAAGUUGCAUCUUUGCAGGAGGUUUCAGUUACCAGAAAUGUGUUCAUCACAUCCAGAAGCUGUGUUUACCAGUUCAGUAAUGUCACUUUUAUAGGGCUUUGCUAACACAGAGUUAUUGUAUAAUACUUACUCUUUAAUUUAGUUUAAUUAAUAUGUAGUCAAGUGAAAUUUGUAAAACCCCUUACAUACCUUUCAGAUACAUUGACUGAACAUUUUAAAAAGAUAUUAUAUUUAUUUUUAAAUUUGUUUUUCCAUAAAGGGAACUUAAAAUCUAUCUUCCUUUGGGCUUUUCCCUGGCAGGUUCUUAGGGCUUCUCUAAAUAAAUUAGUGGACCAUGACACCUACUUUUAAAUAGAUGUAAUUUCUGUUUGUAAGCCAAAAAGUUGACAUUGGCAGGAAACUAUUGGUAGUUUUGAGCUGACAGGGAGCUGUGGCAGGAAAAUGACCAUCAUUAAUAUUGUUGGAGUUUCAGUGUUUUUGUAUACACACACUGUUCCCCAAAUGUGUCUUUUUUAGGCAUUUGCACUUCACAUUUAUUCUGCUGUGUUUGUGCUGGAAAUUAAGGUUGACUUGUUUACAAAUUAUUUACUAUGGUACUCCAGCUGUGUGUGUCUCUAAAACAAGAAGGAUGAUAGAAAGAUGGUUAUGAGAGUAAUUUAUGUAUAUUUAAACAUUCAUUGCAUGCUUUAUUCAUCAUAUAUAUUUUAUGUAAUUACUUUCUCUUUACAAUGUAAAACUAUA